rnacentral:rRNA from 1 species
UACGUAGGGGGGCAAGCGUUGUCCGGAAUCAUUGGGCGUAAAGAGCGUGUAGGCGGCCCGGUAAGUCUGUUGUGAAAGUCCAGGGCUCAACCCUGGAAUGCCGAUGGAUACUGCCGGGCUAGAGUUCGGAAGAGGCGAGUGGAAUUCCUGGUGUAGCGGUGGAAUGCGCAGAUAUCAGGAGGAACACCUAUAGCGAAGGCAGCUCGCUGGGACGACACUGACGCUGAGACGCGAAAGCGUGGGGAGCAAACAGG